rnacentral:rRNA from 1 species
CCUUGUACACACCGCCCGUCACACCACGAAAGUUGGCAAUACCCGAAGCCGGUGGCCUAACCCGCAAGGGAGGGAGCCGUCGAAGGUAUGACUCAUGAUUGGGGUG